CUAAACUUUUUUGCAGUUUUGACGCAAAUUAAAUCAAAUUGGCAGAAAAGAGUCCAGGGUUCAUAAGCACGAAUACAGUGACAGUCUGCAACUGCGAGGAAGGAGAGAGACUCUUGUCGAACACGCUGAUUUCGUUCUCGCUCUCGUUUUUUCUCACGCUGAUUUCAUUCCGUCGUCCGAUUGUCUGCUCUAGGUUAUUUAUCUUUUUUUUUACCCUGCGGUUUGCUUUCAGAAUUCUCCACGCUUUCUGCUUUAAUUAUUACGAUUUCCGUUCAAGUGUUGGUCUACAUUUGCUUAUUUUCUAUCUGCAACUAUUUACAAUUACCAUAUGAGCAGAAAAAAAAAUGAAGAAAAGACUUUCAGAAUAAUAGAUGAUGGUAAAUGUGUAAUUUUCUGCAAGCAUUAUUGGUCUAGAACCAGGAAGUGCCUCUGAGACCCUCGUUUUCCUCAAAGAGUGUUUUAUAUUCUCUUCCGUGGCGUUGAUAUAUGAUAAAUUUGCAUGCAUAAUGCGCCAUGUUUUGCAAUGGUUUUUUCUUCACAAGCAUUCUUCUUGGUCAUAUCUUUUAGAGAUGAAAUGGUUAAAUGCUUAGCUAAUUGUAGUUCAUACCAUAUUUUUUUUUUUUUGAAACCCAUUCAUACCAUAGUAUUUAAUUGUCUUAAAUAUUACCCUGCAUCUGCUGGAAACUGAUGCUUUGGUUCUCUUAUUGAUCAUUGUGAGGAAAGGGAUUAGGAAUCCUUAUGAUGCAGUUACUUCUGAUCCAUCAGUCAAAGGCAAAAACAAGAAUAAUGCUUCAAGACAGUGUUUUCCCCAGCAUUCCACCCCUAAGGCAUGGCAUACUGACACUGUGAAGAAACUUGGCUUCAGAGAUGAUGGAGGGCUUGGACAGGGCUCCGGCAGAGGGUAUACUAAACAACAGCCAUCUGGCCGUAAUCCUAACUCUGACUAUGAUGCAGCACCUCCAGUAUGGAACACUAGAGCCGCUUCUUCUCAGCCCUCAGCUCAAGCAACUGAUAAUCAGGCCUUUGAUGAAGUUGAUGAUGAGUCAGAUGAUGCUCUGAGUGAUGACUUUGAUUCAGAUCAAAGCCAGAAAAGCCAUGAGACGAAAAAAAAGAACAAGUGGUUUAAGGAGCUUUUUCAGUGCUUGGACAAUUUAACUGUUAAGGAGAUUAAUGAGCCUGAAAGAUAGUGGCAUUGCCCAGCAUGCCAAGGAGGCCCCGGUGCUAUUGACUGGUACCGUUGCAACCCUUAAUCACACAUGCCAAAACCAAACGAUCCAAAAGGAUGAAGCUCCACAGAGAGCUUGCUGAAAUAUUGGAUGAGGAACUUAAAAGAAGGAGAACAUCGGCAGUGCCAGCUGGUGAGACCAAGAGCUACGCGCAAAUUCUCAUUGGACAAGAGAGCUGAUAAAGAAAUUGUUUGGCCCCCCAUGGUGGUAAUUAUGAAUACCAAGCUUGACAAAGAUGAAAAUGAAAUGGAGUGGCAUGGGUAAUCAAGAGCUGCUUGAUUGUUUCCCUGACUAUUCUGCAAUCAAGGCAGACCAUUCUUAUGGACCACAAGGGCACCGUGACAUGAGUCUGUUAAUUUUUGAG